GUAGGAUUGUACAAAUGUUUUAUGGCAGAACAGUCCGAAGCGAAUUCUGACGUGCAAAUCGAUCGUCUGACUUUGCUAUAGGGGCGAAAGACUAAUCGAACUAUCUAGUAGCU
rfam:Onchocerca flexuosa genome assembly, scaffold: OFLC_contig0027579